rnacentral:lncRNA from 1 species
CACAACUUUAAUUAACAUAUGGUACUGAUUGUCAUAUACAUAUAGUUCAUUUGUUCUAAGCAUAAUCACCCAAACACCAUACGUCACGCUCAAACCAAGAGCACGAAACAUUUUUUAUUCCAUUAACUAAUUGGCACAUACAUACACUUCAAUCUGUUCUAAACAAAACCACCGAGGAACCAUACAUCAGGUUUACAAAAGGACAGUCAAAAGGUGCAAGUAUGAGACAUCAGUUGUACAAAAUGAAAGCUAAAACAUCUAGUUGACGUGGAUCGUUGGCUUCAUGGUUCCUUGUGAGUGUAGUCCUUUUUGCUUCCUACAAAAGUUAAUCAAUUCUCAGUUAUAAUACACUAUUAGAAACUAUACUACAGUACCAAAAUGCCAACAUACAGGAUCAUCACAUUCUCAAAAAUAUAAAUAGUAAUAAAUACAGAGAAUUCAAUAAUCAUGUGUUAACACUAACGUUGAUCCUCGGUUGAGAUUGUUCGCACUAAUCUUUAUAUUUUGUAUCCGCAUACUUAGUUUGCUUUCGUUAUGCAUGUAACAUAGAUGGUCUAGGAGUAUCUAGUCGUUGAAGGUUAAAUCGAGUGCACGGAGGAGGCGAGAUACCGGGCUGCAGUGCGAUGCGGCGAGCAUGGUGAGAUGUCGAUGGCGGCGUGAAGCCGCGGUGCUGUGUGAUGCAGCACGCCGUGUGAAGCGGCAAGGCGCUUGACGACUGGAAUAGCUAGAGGAGAAUAGGCAAGUUAGUUUGUUUGUCAGCUACAUGGCCGCUGACCAGGUGUGUGGCCGUUGAGUGGAGAUGCGCAAGUGGACAUGCAUGCAUGUAGGGAUUAAGUGCAUGGAAUUAGUUGUGUGAGUGGGAGUGAGUUAGUGCCUAGACGUGAUGUUAGUGGCCGGAUGUGGCGCCUGAGUGGCCGCAUAUUAAGAAGCUACAUCAGUUUGUGAUGAAAAUCAUUCCUAUCCGCAGCAAGAGUUUUCAAUGUGCGCAAACCUUGACAAGUGAUGUCCGGUCAUCGGCUCGCCAGACCAAGAUGUGCGCCACUAAAAAUUCCUGAACAAUAGUGGUUGCUAACCAACUGAAACAGGAGAAAAGGGGAUUCAGGCUAACCAGCUGAAGCAGGAUAAAAGAUGCACCAAAACAAGCUAGAAAUGAUGUGCACACGUCAGCAUGCAUCCUUACAAAAGGGGCACGUAGGAAGAUCUCUUUAUAAUAUGUUAUGCAUGUAGGGAUAAUCAUCAUUCGAGUAGAGUCAGCAUUACACUUCUGCAACUUCUACAGCAAUAAUGACAUUAUAUAUUAGUAUAUUACAUCACCUCUAUGAAAUUUACUGCUGCUGAGCAAAAAAGGAUUACAUAAUAUAUUUUAUAGUGAGACAUUUCUUUUUACCAAAACGAUUAAGAGAAAAGAAUGGCGCUGAACUAAACAAAGGGAAGUGACCAUAAGUUGAGUAAUAUUGGUAAAAACGACAAUCAACAAUACUCAUUGGAAUAAGAUUUAAAUUACAUGGUCGAAUAAGAUCUCCUUAUCUCGAUGAAUCUCAAACUGGGAUUUCGAUAUCUCAAUAAAUCUGAGAUUCAGAGUUUCUAAAAGCUGCAAUAAUGCUUUACAAAUCAGAGCUUACCUAAAAUUAAAGAAUAUCUUGCCCAGAAGCCGAGGUAGGGACUCAUUGAGUAUGAGUACGACUAUAAACUGCAAACUGUAUGCUAGCUCUAAUCUUGGUUGAAAGUUUUAAGAGCCAAUUCUGAAGGCAUCCGACUGUCAGCACCUGCAACAUCUCAUGUAAUAUGAAUACCAGUUUUGUGUAAAUCAUGUAAUAACAUUAAACAUCAAUGUUGAAUUUACACAACCAUACUGUUAGUAACAAAGGCAUGAAUGAAACAAAAAGAAUGUGGCCUAUCUAAUAAUAGUAGGAAGAGCAACAUAAAUCCAUAUUCUCCUUGCAAUGUGGCUUAUCUAAUAAAAGUACGAAGAGCAAAAUAAAUCUAUGUUCUCCCAGCAUUCUAUGGUGCAUGUUUUGCCCUGUUUGUGAGCAGAAGAAUAUGCAGGCUACUGUGAAAGCCAAGUUGUGCCUAACAAUCAACAUUCCAAGUUUCAGAUAGGAUAUGAACCAAGAAAAUACUGAUUUUCUAUACAGACAUCACAGUUGUGGUGAUUUCCGCGAAGAGGUGCAACCUGUUGGCGGCGUCGGAUGGCUUGGGCUCCGAGUCCAGCACCGCUGCAGCAGCCUCCCACUCCGUCUAAGUGUAUGGGAUGCAAAGAAGAAUCCUGGGAAAAUAUGGGAUACAUGAACUAUUCUGGAAGUUACAGAACUACUGAAGCAAAUUUAAAGAUAAAAUAGAACUGUAAAAUCUAUAGAAGCAUGACUGUAUAAAUACAAACUGCUAGAUAUGUACUUUAUCUUCAUUCCAGUAAAACUGAACUAAUUUUAAUAUAGUCCUAUGUUUGCCAGAAUUCUACAAUGUUUAAAUAAAAGUCUGAAACAUUAGUAUGAUUAUUUGGACUUUUUGUGGAACCUGAAGCUAGUUCUCAGGGUUGUCCCUCGUCUCAAAGCACAGAUAUGUGGAUACGUUUUUCUAUAUAAAUAAAGUAAUGAAUUUUCAUAUGAUGAAUACCCAUGUAUUGACCUUCAGGCACGCAUAGCAUAAUUUGAUAGUCUGGCAAGGGUUCAAACAUCACAAAUUACAACUCACAAGCUCUAAAGUUCACAAAUCAAUCACAACCAGUUCAUAAAAAACAGUAGCUAAUUAAGGUUUCCUGCAACACUACUGAAAGGAAUACCUGUAGCAUAGAUUAUUUUUUUCAAUAAUAGCAUCAAGCUUGUUCUUCUCAAGUUCUCAUAUCCAGAAAUCACACGAGAUGUAGCUCUUAGACUGCAUUGCCUGCUACCCCAUUAGCAGAUAGAGCCCCUGUUUUUGAUGCUCUGCUUGAGCUGGAGCUCACAUCCAAAACGCUGCUUGCUGGAUAGAAGUACUAUCCCAAGUCAUGGCUGAUCUGAACGGAAAAGGCAAAAGCAAAUAAAUCAACUAACGGCAGCACCGAUUGAGGAUGGGUGGAGAGGGAGAGGAGAGUGAAAAGAACACUCACCGCCCGGGGAGGGGAAGCACCAGCAGUCAACGGCCAGAUCCUUCUUCAAACAAACCGACGAGCGCAGAUCGGAGGAAGCCCAUGGCGUGGCGGCGGUGGUGGCGGCCCCUGGGUGGCGACA